GCGGACGUUCCCGAGCGGUCAAAGGGGCAAGGUUCAGGGCCUUGUAGCUUAGUGCUUUCGCAGGUUCGAAUCCUGCCGUCCGCA
rnacentral:tRNA from 1 species